rnacentral:lncRNA from 1 species
GAGCACUCAAUCCAUAAAAUUUCUUAACGAAAUUUUCACAAAAUUAUUGUAUCAUGCUGUAAACCUUAAAGAAAUAAUAAAAUAAAUAUUUUUACUUCGAAUUUGUGGUCCUGAAACCACCGUUCCAAUUUGACCCAAAAAUAGGUUGUUAUAACUCUCCCUUUUUAGGGAUUGUCGUCCUCAAAAAUCUUACCAGAAAAGAGGUUAGGGUACUAUUUUCUCAUAGCUUCC